UACAGAGGGUGCGAGCGUUGUCCGGAAUCACUGGGCGUAAAGGGCGCGUAGGUGGCGCGACAAGUCAGUGGUGAAAGUUCGACGCUCAACGUCGAGUCGGCCACUGAUACUGUUGGGCUUGAGCACUGUAGAGGCUAAUGGAAUUCCGGGUGUAGCGGUGGAAUGCGUAGAGAUCCGGAAGAACACCGGUGGCGAAGGUGGUUAGCUGGGCAGUUGCUGACACUGAGGCGCGACAGCGUGGGGAGCGAACAGG
rnacentral:rRNA from 1 species